UAUACCUUCUGCGCCUGCGUGGUCAAUACUUUGGCAGGUUUACAUCCCCGCUUCUUCUCUCAGAGAAUCCUAUAUCGAUCCAGUCGAGUCAGUGCAUUGGAUAAGUGAGAUGCGCUCGAAAGCAGUCAGACUAAGAACCCUAAGUUUCUGGAGUAAAUAAAUAGUGCAGUUGAAGCAAAAUAAAGCGGCGAAGGAAAUACUAUUGCAUGGAUGAUGGAAUACCCGAAAAACCAGCGCCACGUGAAAAACGAUCAGAACGUCCAAAAUACUACAUCAGGAUACACCUUUAUCGUUUUUGGGAUAAAUCAAGAUCAAGACUAACAAGAUGAAAACGACAAAGAGAAUCCCCAUAUUGCUGUAAGAUUUUACUGAAGGGGCAUCGUGGUACCAUGCAUAAUUUUUAGGAUCUUGUUGGUACGUCAGAUAUUCAAUCCAGGACAUGGUGGUACCUAUCAGUAUCUUGAAGCCAGAAAGAAAGAGAUGAGGAGAUGAAACUUAAGCCUGCCUACCAGU